rnacentral:rRNA from 1 species
UACGGAGGGGGCUAGCGUUGUUCGGAAUUACUGGGCGUAAAGCGCACGUAGGCGGCUUUGCAAGUUAGAGGUGAAAGCCCGGGGCUCAACUCCGGAAUUGCCUUUAAAACUGCAUCGCUAGAAUUGUGGAGAGGUAAGUGGAAUUCCGAGUGUAGAGGUGAAAUUCGUAGAUAUUCGGAAGAACACCAGUGGCGAAGGCGACUAACUGGACACAUAUUGACGCUGAGGUGCGAAAGCGUGGGGAGCAAACAGG